ACGGUAUCGUAAGAAUAAGGAUCGGCUAACUCCGUGCCAGCAGCCGCGGUAAUACGGAGGAUCCAAGCGUUAUCCGGAAUCAUUGGGUUUAAAGGGUCCGUAGGCGGUUUGGUAAGUCAGUGGUGAAAGCCCAUCGCUCAACGGUGGAACGGCCAUUGAUACUGCCAGACUUGAAUUACUGGGAAGUAACUAGAAUAUGUAGUGUAGCGGUGAAAUGCUUAGAGAUUACAUGGAAUACCAAUUGCGAAGGCAGGUUACUACCAGUGGAUUGACGCUGAUGGACGAAAGCGUGGGUAGCGAACAGGAUUAGAUACCCUGGUAGUCCACGCCGUAAACGAUGGAUACUAGCUGUUGGGAGUAAUCUCAGUGGCUAAGCGAAAGUGAUAAGUAUCCCACCUGGGGAGUACGUUCGCAAGAAUGAAACUCAAAGGAAUUGACGGGGGCCCGCACAAGCGGUGGAGCAUGUGGUUUAAUUCGAUGAUACGCGAGGAACCUUACCAAGGCUUAAAUGUAGAUUGACCGGUUUGGAAACAGACCCUUCGCAAG
rnacentral:rRNA from 1 species